GGCCUUUUUAUUAACUCUUAGUAGACUUACACAUGCAAGCAUCCACGCUCCGGUGAGAAUGCCCUCUAUCUCCUUUUAAAGGAUCAAAAGGAGCAGGUAUUAAGUUCGCUGUAAACAGCUGCUCACAACACCUUGCUACACCACACCCCCACGGGAUACAGCAGUGAUUAAGAUUAAAACAUAAACGAAAGUUUGACUAAGUUAUACUAACAUAGGGUUGGUAAAUUUCGUGCCAGCCACCGCGGUCAUACGAUUAACCCUAGUUAAUAAAGCACGGCGUAAAGCGUGAUUAAGGUGUAUUUCCAAUAAGAUUGAGCCCUAACUAAGCUGUAAAAAGCCCUAGUUAGCAUAAAAGCCUAAAACGAAAGUAAUCUUAUUACCCCUGAAUUCACGAUAGCUAAGACCCAAACUGGGAUUAGAUACCCCACUAUGCUUAGCCCUAAACUCAAAUACUCAAAUAACAAGACUAUUCGCCAGAGAACUACUAGCUACUGCUUAAAACUCAAAGGACUUGGCGGUGCUUUACAUCCCUCUAGAGGAGCCUGUUCUAUAAUCGAUAAACCCCGUUAAACCUCACCACUCCUUGCAACGUCAGCCUAUAUACCGCCAUCUUCAGCAAACCCUAAUAAGGCAUUAAAGUAAGCACAAGUAUCUUACAUAAAAACGUUAGGUCAAGGUGUAGUCUAUGGAGUGGAAAGAAAUGGGCUACAUUUUCUAUCUUCUAGAACACUUCACGAUAGUUGUUAUGAAAUUUAACAAACCUAAGGCGGAUUUAGUAGUAAGUUAGGAAUAGAGUGCCUAGCUGAAUUGGGCAAU
rnacentral:ncRNA from 1 species